UACGGGGGGGGCAAGCGUUGUUCGGAAUUACUGGGCAUAAAGGGCUUGUAGGUGGCCAACUAAGUCAGACAUGAAAUCCCUCGGCUUAACCGGGGAACUGCGUCUGAUACUGGAUGGCUGGAGUGUGGGAGAGGGAUGCGGAAUUCCAGGUGUAGCGGUGAAAUGCGUAGAUAUCAGGAGGAACACCGGUGGCGAAGGCGGAUCUCUGGGCCUGUUCUGACGCUGAGGCGCGAAAGCUAGGGGAGCGAACAGG
rnacentral:rRNA from 1 species